rnacentral:tRNA from 1 species
CGGGGUAUAGCGUAACCUGGUAUCGCACACGGUUCGGGUCCGUGAGAUUCUCGGUUCAAAUCCGGGUGCCCCGACCA